GAUCCUGCUCAGGAUGAACGCUAGCGACAGGCUUAACACAUGCAAGUCGAGGGGCAGCGGGGUGUAGCAAUACACCGCCGGCGACCGGCGCACGGGUGAGUAACGCGUAUCCAACCUGCCCAUCACUUGGGAAUAACCUUGCGAAAGUAAGACUAAUGCCCAAUGAUAUCCCACGAAGGCAUCCGAAUGGGAUUAAAGAUUUAUCGGUGAUGGAUGGGGAUGCGUCUGAUUAG
rnacentral:rRNA from 1 species